rnacentral:misc_RNA from 1 species
GAUGAAGAACGCAGUGAAAUGCGAUAAGUAAUGUGAAUUGCAGAAUUCAGUGAAUCAUCGAAUCUUUGAACGCACAUUGCGCCCGCCAGUAUUCUGGCGGGCAUGCCUGUUCGAGCGUCAUUACAACCCUCAAGCCCCCCGGCUUGGUGUUGGGGACCGGCCACCGGUGCCCUGCUGCUUCCGCGGCAGGCGCACCCGGCCGCCCCCGAAAUGAAUUGGCGGCCCCGUCGCGGCCUCCCUCUGCGUAGUAGCACACAUCUCGCAGCUGGAGCGCGGCGCGGCCACUGCCGUAAAACGCACCAACUUUUUUUACAGUUGACCUCGAAUCAGGUAGGAAUACCCGCUGAACUCAAGCAUAUCAAUAAGCGGAGGA